rnacentral:rRNA from 1 species
GUUUGAUCCUGGCUCAGGAUGAACGCUAGCGGCAGGCCUAACACAUGCAAGUCGAACGGUAACAGUCUGCAACUUGUUGUAGAGCUGACGAGUGGCGCACGGGUGCGUAACGCGUAUACAAUCUACCUUUUACAGUGGGAUAGCCCAGAGAAAUUUGGAUUAAUACCGCAUAGUAUUAUUAGUUGGCAUCAAUUAAUAAUUAAAGAUUUAUCGGUAAGAGAUGAGUAUGCGUCCUAUUAGUUAGUUGGAGUGGUAACGGCACCCCAAGACAUCGAUAGGUAGGGGUCCUGAGAGGGAGAUCCCCCACACUGGUACUGAGACACGGACCAGACUCCUACGGGAGGCAGCAGUGAGGAAUAUUGGACAAUGGGCGAGAGCCUGAUCCAGCCAUGCCGCGUGCAGGAAGACUGCCCUAUGGGUUGUAAACUGCUUUUAAACGGGAAGAAACCCUAGCUCGUGAGCUAGGCUGACGGUACCGUAAGAAUAAGGAUCGGCUAACUCCGUGCCAGCAGCCGCGGUAAUACGGAGGAUCCAAGCGUUAUCCGGAAUCAUUGGGUUUAAAGGGUCCGUAGGUGGAUAAUUAAGUCAGAGGUGAAAUCCUGCAGCUCAACUGUAGAAUUGCCUUUGAUACUGGUUAUCUUGAGUCAUUAUGAAGUAGUUAGAAUAUGUAGUGUAGCGGUGAAAUGCAUAGAUAUUACAUAGAAUACCAAUUGCGAAGGCAGAUUACUAAUAAUGUACUGACACUGAUGGACGAAAGCGUGGGUAGCGAACAGGAUUAGAUACCCUGGUAGUCCACGCCGUAAACGAUGGUCACUAGCUGUUCGAGCUUCGGUUUGAGUGGCUAAGCGAAAGUGAUAAGUGACCCACCUGGGGAGUACGUUCGCAAGAAUGAAACUCAAAGGAAUUGACGGGGGCCCGCACAAGCGGUGGAGCAUGUGGUUUAAUUCGAUGCAACGCGCAGAACCUUACCUGGCCUUGACAUCCACGGAACUUACCAGAGAUGGUUUGGUGCCUUCGGGAACCGUGAGACAGGUGCUGCAUGGCUGUCGUCAGCUCGUGUCGUGAGAUGUUGGGUUAAGUCCCGCAACGAGCGCAACCCUUGUCCUUAGUUGCCAGCACGUAAUGGUGGGAACUCUAAGGAGACUGCCGGUGACAAACCGGAGGAAGGUGGGGAUGACGUCAAGUCAUCAUGGCCCUUACGGCCAGGGCUACACACGUACUACAAUGGUCGGUACAGAGGGUUGCGAAGCCGCGAGGUGGAGCCAAUCCCAGAAAGCCGAUCUCAGUCCGGAUCGGAGUCUGCAACUCGACUCCGUGAAGUCGGAAUCGCUAGUAAUCGCAGAUCAGCAUUGCUGCGGUGAAUACGUUCCCGGGCCUUGUACACACCGCCCGUCACACCAUGGGAGUUGGUUUUACCCGAAGACGGUGAGCGAACCCGCAAGGGAUGCAGCCGGCCACGGUAGGGUCAGCGACUGGGGUGAAGUCGUAACAAGGUAGCC